CAGUAUCUAGUAUUUCAUCGAGGCCUUCUUGAAGACCUUAAGUAUAAUUUUUGGAAACCCUGUUCUAAUAUUUUAGGACAGGGUA
rnacentral:ncRNA from 18 species